CAUGUAGGCGGCUUAAUAAGUCGAGCGUGAAAAUGCGGGGCUCAACCCCGUAUGGCGCUGGAAACUGUUAGGCUUGAGUGCAGGAGAGGAAAGGGGAAUUCCCAGUGUAGCGGUGAAAUGCGUAGAUAUUGGGAGGAACACCAGUGGCGAAGGCGCCUUUCUGGACUGUGUCUGACGCUGAGAUGCGAAAGCCAGGUAGCGAACG
rnacentral:rRNA from 1 species